rnacentral:misc_RNA from 1 species
CCAAAUUAAAAACUUGUGGUGGAGAAAAGGGAAAGAAGAUACACCAGAUUCCCCUAGUGGGCUCAUGUAUACCUUCAGCUCUAUUGAGUCUCAGAUUAGAGUUUUGGGCGACUAUGCUUUCAUGUUAAGAGAUUAUGAACUUGCAUUGUCAAACUAUCGGCUUAUUUCCACAGAUUAUAAGCUUGACAAGGCUUGGAAGCGCUAUGCCGGGGUGCAGGAAAUGAUGGGUCUUGCGUACUUUAUGUUGGAUCAAUCAAG